AUGUAUAGGGAAAACUGGUAAAAUGUGAUGUACCUAGAAAUAUAAGCAGUCUUAUAUUUAUUACCUCUAUUACCUAGUAAUAAAGUAAUAAAUAUGAGAUUAUUCUAUAUGAGAUUAACUAAGUUAAUUAAAAUUCUAAGUAGAUGUUUGAUUAUGACAAUAUCUGUAUAGGUCUUGACCAAGUCACGUGCCAGCAGUCGCGGUAAUACGUGGAAGACAAGUGUUAUUCAUCUUUAUUGGGUUUAAAGGGUACCUAGACUGUUAAUUAAGCAAUGAGAUGUACUAAUUAACUAGAGUUUAAUGUAAGAAGGAUUGAGUACAGUGAGUGUAGAGAUAAAAUUCUUAGAUACCACUUAGGAACUGGUAACAGCGAAGGCUACCUUCAAUGUAAAAACUGACGUUAAGGGACGAAGGCUUGUAUUAAAUAAUAGGAUUAGAUACCCUAGUAUUUUGAGCAGAAAAUGAUGAGUGUCAUAUACAAGAUAUUUAUUUUGUGUAUAAAUGAAAGUGUAAGCACUCCACCUCAAGAGUAACGUGGCAACAUGGGAACUGAAAUCAUUAGACCGUUUUUGAAACUCGUAGUGAAGUAUGUUGUUUAAUUUGAUGGUACACAAAUAACCUUACCACAAUUUGAAUUACUAAAAAAAAAUAGUAACAAGUGUUGCACGGCUGUCUUCAGUCAAUGUUGUGAAACUUUGGUUAGAUCCAUUAAAUUGACGUAAACCCUUACUUUAUUUAUUAUAAAGUAGUUCGCCGCUAUAUUGGUAGUGAUAUAAGGGACUAGGACAAGUCAUCAU
rnacentral:rRNA from 1 species